GUUGACAUAUUUGUAACAGAAUACAGUCUUACUCGACCUCUAGUAAACCUAGGUACAACAGAAGUAUUACACUUAUUGAUGGUUCUAGAGACAUAUCUGUUAGCAGGUAUUAAUUUAAUACUGAAUAUUUCCCACUUCACAUGAACCUGGAAUUAAUUUAGCUUAAUUUAGAAUUGUCUGAUUUAUAAGUUCUUAGAAUGGAAUGUGAAAGUCGCUCAGUCGUGUCCAGCUCUUUGUAACCCCAUAGACUCUACAGUCCAUGGAAUUCUCCAGGUCAGAAUACUGGAGUGGGUCGCCAUUCUCUUCUCCAGGGUAUCUUCCCAACCCAGGGAUCGAACCCAGGUCUCCCACAUUGCAGGUGGAUUCUUUACCAGCUGAGCCACCAGGAAAGCCCUUGUACCCAGGUAUUACAGGACUUUACCCUGGGCCUCCAGAGAAGGGAGGACUGGAACUCUGCCCUACCAGAAACCACACCAGACCAAAACACAACCAGAAGUCAAGUUCUCUGCCAAGCAAAGGGGAUCUGCCUCCAGUCCUCAGCUCAAGCUGAGGCCCUUCGAUCAGAUUCCUGCAUCCAGGACCAGAGGACUAGAAAAACGGGGAAGGAUAGGCAGAGCUAAGGAGAGGAGAGAGGGAAGGGGUGAGAGGUCAAUAAAGUCUCUUGUUCCUUUCCGGUUGGGGCACUCUGGCCAGUUGUUCACAUCAGGAGGAGACCAGGGACAAAAGGGUCCCAGUUGUGGCCACUGGGUCUGGUCCAUUGGUGGGCAAGCUGGUCCUUGAGUACCCCGAGUGGUCAGCAUGUCAGUCUCAGUAAAGAAGAGUCCCUGGUGGAGUCACCAUUUGUUGCAGGAAAGGGGACCCCUUCCAGGGCCAACGCGUGGUGUCUGCUUUUGACCGUUCCUGAACUCUUCCUGUUGGUGGUGAAUUAUUAGUUCCGUGUUCCUUACCAGGACCUCCUGUCGUAAAACAGCUCAUGCAAAUGGUUACUAUGGCGCCUGGCCAGGGUGAGCGGUUUCAGUGUGCUCCCCCUAACAGCUGUACUAUUUGCAACAGGCAGAAAGUAGAAACAACCCAGAUGUCCAUCAAUGAAAUAAAUGGAUAAACAAACAGUGGUGUAUACAUACAAUGGAGAAUUAUUCAGCCCUAAUAAGAAAUGAAGUACAGAUAUGUGCUUGAACUUCAAAAAUAUUAUGCUAAUAUAGAAACCAGGUAUGAAAGGUCACGUAUUACAUAAUUCUGUUUUUACAAAAUAUCCAGACAGGAAAAUCCACAGAGAUGGAAAGCAGGUUGGUGGUUGCCAGGGAGUAGAGGGGAAGGGAAGUAGAGGGUGACUGCUUGUGUAUGGGGUUUCCUUUGGGAUGAAAAUAUUUUGCAAGUAGAUAGAUAUGGAGGCUUACAACAUUGUGAAUGUACCAAGUGCUUCUGAAUUGUUGACUUUGAAAUGGUUAAUUUUCAUCCUGUAUUUUGGGGCUGCUCUUCUGAGAUGGCCUACAUUCUGUUUGUGGAGUAUGUUUCUCCCAAAGCUGUUCUCACUUUCUCAGAUGACUCUAUGCCCUGGGGCUGCUCUUGCCUUUUGAGACAGACCACAUGCUGUCUCUGAAAUGUAUAUCUGUCUAAAUAAAUUCACUUUCACUUAAGUAAAAUAAAAAAGUUUAUUUUAUGUUAUGCGAAUUUUAUCUCAUUAAAAACUUUAUAAAUUUUCCUGGAAAAAAGAAUAACUGGAUGGGUUUUUUAAUUUUUGUUUUUAGUGAAGUCUAACUUUUACUUCAGAGAAGGCGAUGGCACUCCACUCCAGUACUCUUGCCUGGAAAAUCCCAUGGAUGGAGGAGCCUGGUAGGCUGCAGUCCAUGGGGUCUCUAAGAGUCGGGCAUGACUAAGUGACUUCACUUUCACUUUUCACUUUCAUGCAUUGGAGAAGGAAAUGGCAACCCACUCCAGUGUUCCUGCCUGGAGAAUCCCAGGGACAGGGGAGCCUGGUGGGCUGCCAUCUAUGGGGAUGCACAGAGUCAGACACGACUGAAGCGACAUAGCAGCAGCAGCAGCUUUUACUUAUCAUUCUUUGUUAAUUUUUCUGGUCUCUAUCACAUAUGAGGGUGCAUAUCAUCU
ensembl:lincRNA